AAUUCAUGGAUACAUUUGUACUCUAUCCUACAAGGAGGGUGACUCAGCCAAAAAGUUAAACAAUCUGGAUAUAAUUUUACCAUUAGACAUUAUCACAUGUUCAGGGACAUCAGAUGAUGAAUAAGCUCUUAGUACUAUCACUGGAGAUGUCACAUUGUGCAAGUCAAGUUGUCUAAAUACAUUCAAGUAAAGAAACAGGCACAUGGAAAUUGGAAUGUUAUUAGUAAGCAUUUUCGGACAGAGGAUUUGUGAACUGCUACACAAGCCAAGGAUUAUCAAAAUUCAAAAUAGACUAAGAGAUUGGCUCCUCAUUUGACAACCAUAUAUCAAGGAGCUUGCAGUGUAAUAGACAAUUCAGAGAGCAACAAAACGAAAUCAAAAACAUUCUAUUCUCAUGGGACAAAAGUCUCAAUAUAUAUAAACUAAUGAAUGCUAAAAAUGAAGAAUGAUUGUGACUCCCUUUGGGCUUUGGGUGUCAACUUAAAAUAACACAGUAAAAGAUUAUUUAUACAAUGGGAGAGAAGUAAAGAAUGGGCAAUAAGAUUCCAAAAGCAUGUUAUAUGCAUUGUGGAUUGCUCCCCAGUAAACCAUAUGCUACUUGAGCAUGCUGCAGGGUAUUGUGUUUACCAACAAAAUACCCAGCCCCCAGCCCCAGCCCCAUUCCCCAUUAAAAAAAGGAUAAAGGGAAGAUACCAUUAACCACCUUUCAGUUCAAUACAUGCACAUGUUCUUGUGAUUUGAUGUUAUAAA